rnacentral:rRNA from 1 species
UUGGACAAUGGGCGAAAGCCUGAUCCAGCAAUGCCGCGUGUGUGAAGAAGGCCUUCGGGUUGUAAAGCACUUUUGUCCGGAAAGAAAUCCUUGGCUCUAAUACAGUCGGGGGAUGACGGUACCGGAAGAAUAAGCACCGGCUAACUACGUGCCAGCAGCCGCGGUAAUACGUAGGGUGCGAGCGUUAAUCGGAAUUACUGGGCGUAAAGCGUGCGCAGGCGGUUUGCUAAGACCGAUGUGAAAUCCCCGGGCUCAACCUGGGAACUGCAUUGGUGACUGGCAGGCUAGAGUAUGGCAGAGGGGGGUAGAAUUCCACGUGUAGCAGUGAAAUGCGUAGAGAUGUGGAGGAAUACCGAUGGCGAAGGCAGCCCCCUGGGCCAAUACUGACGCUCAUGCACGAAAGCGUGGGGAGCAAACAGGAUUAGAUACCCUGGUAGUCCACGCCCUAAACGAUGUCAACUAGUUGUUGGGGAUUCAUUUCCUUAGUAA